CCUACGGGAGGCAGCAGUGGGGAAUAUUGCGCAAUGGGGGAAACCCUGACGCAGCGACGCCGCGUGGGUGAAGAAGGCCUUCGGGUUGUAAAGUCCUUUCGGCUGGGAAGAAGGUGUGGUUAGUGAAUAGCUAAUCAUAUUGAUGGUACCAGAAGAAGAAGCACCGGCAAACUUCGUGCCAGCAGCCGCGGUAAUACGAAGGGUGCGAGCGUUGUUCGGAAUUACUGGGCGUAAAGGGCUCGUAGGCUGGUAUGCAAGCCGAGUGUGAAAAGCCAGGGCUUAACCUUGGUCGUGCACUUGGGACUGUGUACCUUGAGUUAUAGAGAGGGUGGCGGAAUUGCUGGUGUAGGAGUGACAUCCGUAGAGAUCAGCAGGAACACCGGAGGCGAAGGCGGCCACCUGGCUAUGGACUGACGCUGAGGAGCGAAAGCGUGGGGAGCAAACAGGAUUAGAUACCCUGGUAGUC
rnacentral:rRNA from 1 species